AAAGGUAAGCUACUAAGAGCGAAUGGUGGAUGCCUUGACUGGUAAAGGCGAUGAAGGACGUACUAGACUGCGAUAAGCUACGGGGAGCUGUCAAGAAGCUUUGAUCCGUAGAUUUCCGAAUGGGGCAACCCAAUGUAUAGAGAUAUACAUUACCUAUAUAGGAGCGAACGAGGGGAAUUGAAACAUCUUAGUACCCUCAGGAAAAGAAAUCAAUAGAGAUUGCGUCAGUAGCGGCGAGCGAAAGCGCAAGAGGGCAAACCCAGUGCUUGCACUGGGGG
rnacentral:rRNA from 1 species